rnacentral:tRNA from 1 species
GCCGAGGUGGCGGAAUGGCAGACGCGGCGGACUUAAAAUCCGUUUCCCGCAAGGGAGUGUGGGUUCGAGUCCCUCCCUCGGCACCA